rnacentral:misc_RNA from 1 species
GAAAUGCGAUAAGUAAUGUGAAUUGCAGAAUUCCGUGAAUCAUCGAAUCUUUGAACGCACAUUGCGCCCUCUGGUAUUCCGGGGGGCAUGCCUGUCCGAGCGACAUUGCGAACCCCUCAAGCACGGCUUGUGUGAUGGGCCCUCCCGCGUCUUGGUCGUCAAGACGGGCCCGAAAUGCAGUGGCGGCUUCGCGGUUAUCCGAUCAGCCAGAGCGUAUGGGGACUUUCUCUCUGUCACACGCCCGCGGCGCGGACCGACGCCUGUCGACCUUUAUUCAUCUUUUUCUCGGUUGACCUCGGAUCAGGUAGGGAUACCCGCUGAACUUAAGC